rnacentral:rRNA from 1 species
GAGUGGCGAACUGGUGAGUAACACGUGGGAAACCUGCCCAGAAGCGGGGGAUAACACCUGGAAACAGAUGCUAAUACCGCAUAACAACUUGGACCGCAUGGUCCGAGCUUGAAAGAUGGCUUCGGCUAUCACUUUUGGAUGGUCCCGCGGCGUAUUAGCUAGAUGGUGGGGUAACGGCUCACCAUGGCAAUGAUACGUAGCCGACCUGAGAGGGUAAUCGGCCACAUUGGGACUGAGACACGGCCCAAACUCCUACGGGAGGCAGCAGUAGGGAAUCUUCCACAAUGGACGAAAGUCUGAUGGAGCAACGCCGCGUGAGUGAAGAAGGGUUUCGGCUCGUAAAACUCUGUUGUUAAAGAAGAACAUAUCUGAGAGUAACUGUUCAGGUAUUGACGGUAUUUAACCAGAAAGCCACGGCUAACUACGUGCCAGCAGCCGCGGUAAUACGUAGGUGGCAAGCGUUGUCCGGAUUUAUUGGGCGUAAAGCGAGCGCAGGCGGUUUUUUAAGUCUGAUGUGAAAGCNUUCGGCUCAACCGAAGAAGUGCAUCGGAAACUGGGAAACUUGAGUGCAGAAGAGGACAGUGGAACUCCAUGUGUAGCGGUGAAAUGCGUAGAUAUAUGGAAGAACACCAGUGGCGAAGGCGGCUGUCUGGUCUGUAACUGACGCUGAGGCUCGAAAGUAUGGGUAGCAAACAGGAUUAGAUACCCUGGUAGUCCAUACCGUAAACGAUGAAUGCUAAGUGUUGGAGGGUUUCCGCCCUUCAGUGCUGCAGCUAACGCAUUAAGCAUUCCGCCUGGGGAGUACGGCCGCAAGGCUGAAACUCAAAGGAAUUGACGGGGGCCCGCACAAGCGGUGGAGCAUGUGGUUUAAUUCGAAGCUACGCGAAGAACCUUACCAGGUCUUGACAUACUAUGCAAAUCUAAGAGAUUAGACGUUCCCUUCGGGGACAUGGAUACAGGUGGUGCAUGGUUGUCGUCAGCUCGUGUCGUGAGAUGUUGGGUUAAGUCCCGCAACGAGCGCAACCCUUAUUAUCAGUUGCCAGCAUUAAGUUGGGCACUCUGGUGAGACUGCCGGUGACAAACCGGAGGAAGGUGGGGAUGACGUCAAAUCAUCAUGCCCCUUAUGACCUGGGCUACACACGUGCUACAAUGGAUGGUACAACGAGUUGCGAACUCGCGAGAGUAAGCUAAUCUCUUAAAGCCAUUCUCAGUUCGGAUUGUAGGCUGCAACUCGCCUACAUGAAGUCGGAAUCGCUAGUAAUCGCGGAUCAGCAUGCCGCGGUGAAUACGUUCCCGGGCCUUGUACACACCGCCCGUCACACCAUGAGAGUUUGUAACACCCAAAGUCGGUGGGGUAACCUUUUAGGAACCAGCCGCCUAA